AAUAAACCAAGAUAGCAGCAAAUCCAAGCUAGUUGCACAAAAUAACAUAAAGAAAGUAAGAUCCAACUCCUAAAACAUAGUAAUACUAAUAAUAGCCCAUCACACAACACCAGUGGCAACAGACAUCUAAUAAUGUUAAUAUAUUCAGCAAUUUCCUUUGGUGAUGUCUUCAAUUUCAUCAAAGUCUCGAAACCCUCAAAUGAAAGCAUCAUCAGUAUCUCCUCAUGAAAAUCACCUUCUGACUUUACUGAAUGCAUAAAUAAAUCAAAGAGUGAAAAGGCAUUGCACAAUAAAUAAAUAAAUAAAUAAAAAAUACUACGAGAGGGAAUAAUAAUAAUUACCCGUGAAAUACUCGGUUCCUUAUCUUGGCUAAAGUUAAAUGCUGCUGGAACCGUCCAAACACCUCGUAUUCUCUCAAGAUCUCCUCCUUUGCAAUGCGUUCAGCUUCUUCUGCAUCAAUCAAUCAAUCUAUCAAUCAUUAGCCAACACAUUCAUAAACCAAAUUAAAUUCGAAAGAAUGAUAAUAAUAAUAAUAACAAUACUUUUGAGGAUAAAUUUGAGUCUCCAUUUCAGGCGCCUCAAACUCAGUUUCUUCUUUUUAACGCAUUUGUUAUUUUCUAACUGAAUUGGAAUCGAUUUCUCCAUUAUUACAAAAACAGGUCAAAGGAAUUUGAGUCGGUUGAGAGAUAGAGAAGAUGAACGAAGGUGGAUGGAUGAUUUUAUGGGCUAGACUAUGUAGGCCUAUCACUACCCGCACCACCACUUUUCGUCAUAAUAGCCAAUAUUUAAUUUCUAGUUAUACUUUUUAGUUUCAACCAAUUUUAUCCAUCAAUUAAAACAGUUGUUGGUGUUUUCGUUUUUUACAUCAAAAUUAUAUAUUACAAUUUCAUUUAAUUUAUUUAUAUCCAAAUUAAAAUUAUACCAAAAUUAUUUUUCAUGAUUAACCUAUUUUAACAAAAUAGAAAAUCAAGUAUUUGGACACAAUAGUACCUGUAUGGACACUAGUCUACAUAAAUACUAUACAUUGUGAUGUUUUACCUUUAAUGGUUUAUAUGGAUUAAAUUCAACAAAUACAUACAUGAGUAUGUUUUUAUAAAUAAAAACUUACAACAAUAUUUUUUUUAAUAAAUAUGUUAUGUUCUUACUGAUUCUAUUAGAUUGAGAAAUAUAUAGAUAUGAGACGCUUUUCAAAUAAAACAAAAUAAGUUAAAGACUUUGAUGAGAAUUAUUUAUUUUAAUUUUAUCACUUUCUUUAUUUUAUUUUAUUGAUGUGAUUACGACUAACGUAUUAUUUUUGUUGUAAUUUUUAUUACUUUGUCACAUUGUAUUUUCUUUUUUUUGAAUUAUAUUAUUUAUCUUAAAUUAGAAAGAUUAAUAUAGAUUUCCGAAUUACGAGGCCAUUAAAUAUAGUUAUAAUUGGUUUAAAAAAGUUAAAGAUUAAUAUAGAUUUUCUUUUUCAAAAAAUGUUGUCGUAGGUGGUAACUUAAGGGGUUUUUUCUUCCUUCUAAAAAACACUAUCGUAGGUCUUUUAGCACUUUUUUAACAAGUGUUGUUAUAGGUCUUUAAUAUCGUUUUUUUUUUCUUCAUAAAACCCUGAGUGUUAUUAGAUUAAAGAUUGUGUUGUUCUACUCUUCUCAAAAAACCCUGUUAUUAAUUUCAUUCAAAUUCUAUAUUCUAUUGUAAAUUUAGUUUUUCCAAAAUCAUCAACAUCAUGCACAUAUUGAUACAAUAGCAAUUUUUUUAAUUCAAAUUAUAUAUUCUACUAUAUAUUUAUUUUUUCCAAGAUCAUCUACAUCAAAACACAUAUUGACACAAUAAACAAUUUUUUCAUUCAAACUCUUAAUUCUACUAUACAUUUAGUUUUUCCAAGAUCAUCAACAUCAAACACAUAUUGACACUAGCAAUUUCCAGCAACAUCAAUUUUUCUAAGAUCAUCAUCAACACAAUAAAGACCCUAUUGUAACAAAAAAAUAAAAUAAAUUAAUUAGAAUAAUUAUAAGUUUACACAGAAAUAUACAAUAGCAGUUUACAAUGUGAAACACAACUAAUAUCAACAAGAUAGCAGCAAAUCCAAGCUAGUUGCACAAAAUAACAUAAAGAAAGUAAGAUCCAACUCCUAAAACAUAGUAAUACUAAUAAUAGCCCAUCACACAACACCAGUGGCAACAGACAUCUAAUAAUGUUAAUAUAUUCAGCAAUUUCCUUUGGUGAUGUCUUCAAUUUCAUCAAAGUCUCGAAACCCUCAAAUGAAAGCAUCAUCAGUAUCUCCUCAUGAAAAUCACCUUCUGACUUUACUGAAUGCAUAAAUAAAUCAAAGAGUGAAAAGGCAUUGCACAAUAAAUAAAUAAAAAAUACUACGAGAGUGAAUAAUAAUAAUUACCCAUGAAAUACUCGGUUCCUUAUCUUGGCUAAAGCUAAAGGCGUCUGGAACCGUGCCCACACCGCGUAUUCUCUCGACAUCUUCUCCUUUGCAACGCGUUCAGCUUCUUCUGCAUCAAUCAAUCUAGCAAUCAUUAGGGCACGUCUGAGUUUCCAUUUCAGGCGCCUCAAACUCGGUUUCUUCUUUUUAACGCAUUUGUUAUUUUCUAACUGAAUUGGAAUCGAUUUGUCCAUUAUUACAAAAACAGGUUAAAGGAAUUUGAGUUGGUUGAGAGAUAGAGAAGAUGAACGAAGGUGGAUGGAUGAUUUUAUGGGCUAGACUAUGUAGGCCUAUCACUACCCGCACCACCACUUUUCGUCAUAAUAGCCAAUAUUUAAUUUCUAGUUAUACUUUUUAGUUUCAACCA
rnacentral:lncRNA from 1 species